CCGGAGCUUGCUCCGGGUCCCUUAGUGGCGAACGGGUGAGUAACGCGUGGGAAUCUACCUAAAAAUGGGGAAUAACUGUUGGAAACGACAGCUAAUACCGCAUAAUCCCUUCGGGGCAAAGGCUUCGGCCGUUUUUAGAUGAGCCCGCGUUAGAUUAGGCUGUUGGUGAGGUAAUGGCUCACCAAACCUACAAUCUAUAGCUGGUCUGAGAGGAUGAUCAGCCACACUGGGACUGAGACACGGCCCAGACUCCUACGGGAGGCAGCAGUGGGGAAUAUUGGACAAUGGGGGAAACCCUGAUCCAGCAAUGCCGCGUGAGUGAUGAAGGCCUUAGGGUUGUAAAGCUCUUUCAGAAGUGAAGAUGAUGACGGUAACUUCAGAAGAAGCUCCGGCUAACUCCGUGCCAGCAGCCGCGGUAAUACGGAGGGAGCUAGCGUUGUUCGGAAUUACUGGGCGUAAAGGGCGUGUAGGCUGUAUGGUUAGUCAGAGGUGAAAUCCCUAAGCUCAACUUAGGAACUGCCUUUGAUACUAUCAUACUAGAGAUCGAGAGAAGUUAGCGGAAUUCCAAGUGUAGAGGUGAAAUUCGUAGAUAUUUGGAAGAACACCUGUGGCGAAAGCGGCUAACUGGCUCGUUUCUGACGCUGAGACG
rnacentral:rRNA from 1 species